ACUCCAUAUCUCAGAAUUUUGUUCAAAAACGCCAUAUCUCAACUGAAAAUAUAUAGCAAAUACGUUGAUAUAAAGCGUUUUUGAACCAAAUUCUGAGAUAGGGCUUUCUUCAACCAGAUUCUGAAGUCGGGCGUUCUUUAAACGAAUUCUGAAAUAUGGCGUUAUUAAACCAAAAUUCUGAGAUAGGGCGUUCUUCAGUCAAAUUCUGAGACAGGGCGUUCGUGAAAAGUUUUAUGAGAUAGGGUGUUUUCCCAACGAAGUUCGGCUGGAAAACUUAAGCAAACCCUCGAGAUUUCGAGGUCUUGGAAAUGUGCUAUAAAAUACUUGUACCGAAACAGCUAUAAUAUCUGCCCUUACCCUUUGUUUAACAUUUUCAAUUUAUUAAUAUUACGUAAUACUUAAUUAAAGUUUUCCUAUUUUAGUGCCUGCCCACUUUCAAACCAAAACUAAGCAAAUAUCAGUUGCAAAAGGAAAGCAGGUGCAUGUGCAAUGCAACGUCCAAGGCGACAAUCCCAUCGAUAUAAAAUGGAAAAUACAAGCGACGCAACAAUAUUUGGAUGAAUCACUCGAUUCCAGCGCACCUAAAAUACUGAUUAUGUGAGCAGACGUAUUAGCAACAGCUACUGAAAAGCGCAACUAUCGUAAGAAGGAAAAUUAAAAGAUAGUACUAUUUUCAAAGAAGUGGUCGACGAUCGUAGACCACGUGACCAUUGUAGGGUUAAUGUUGCAAAAAGGUCUGGCGGGACUUGAAAAGCCGGGCAGGUGUGAAGGCUCGUGACCGGAAAAAACAGCAGGCGUUGACCGGUAACAGGCCCCUAGACCAAGCGCCUAUGACGGAGCUUGAAAGGCGCGGAUUGGUUUAAUUGGCAGCAGUUAAUAGGAAUUUCAAUUGGCUCUGGAGGAUGGGGACGAAGGCGUGUUUAAAUUGUUAAUUGAUGAAGACGAUGAAGUACGCUGCGAAACCCCAAAAACCCCACGCAGGUCUUUCAAAAAGAAGCGGGUCGAAGAGGACAUCGACUUGCGGAUGAAAGCGUUGGAGAUAGCUGAAAAGCAGACAGAUGGUCUAAAGUUUGUUUUGUUUCCCAACAGAUGCUAGCCGAAUGCAGUUCGGCGAAUACAAGGCUAGCGAAUUCAAUGACGGAGGUCACGAAUGCACUGUCGGACGCUAUUUUGACCUUGGCGAAGGUUUGAAAGCCACCGCCGAAGCCUUCAAUAAUCUAGCCAACUUUGUAAAUAAGAUGUAAAUACAUAUGUACAUAAAGUGGUGGAAAAAAUAAUAGAAACCA